rnacentral:rRNA from 1 species
CUUGAAUUAUUGUGAAGUGGUUAGAAUAUGUAGUGUAGCGGUGAAAUGCAUAGAUAUUACAUAGAAUACCAAUUGCGAAGGCAGAUCACUAACAAUAUAUUGACACUGAUGGAUGAAAGCGUGGGGAGCGAACAGGAUUAGAUACCCUGGUAGUCCACGCCGUAAACGAUGGUCACUAGCUGUUCGGACUUCGGUCUGAGUGGCUAAGAGAAAUUGAUAAGUGACCCACCUGGGGAGUACGUUCGCAAGAAUGAAACUCAAAGGAAUUGACGGGGGCCCGCACAAGCGGUGGAGCAUGUGGUUUAAUUCGAUGAUACGCGAGGAACCUUACCAGGGCUUAAAUGUAAGUUGCAUUAGCUAGAGAUAGCUAUUUCUUCGGACUACUUACAAGGUGCUGCAUGGUUGUCGUCAGCUCGUGCCGUGAGGUGUCAGGUUAAGUCCUAUAACGAGCGCAACCCCUGUUGUUAGUUGCCAGCAUGUAAAGAUGGGAACUCUAGCAAGACUGCCGGUGCAAACCGUGAGGAAGGUGGGGAUGACGUCAAAUCAUCACGGCCCUUACGUCCUGGGCUACACACGUGCUACAAUGGUAGGGACAGAGAGCAGCCACUGCGUGAGCAGGAGCGAAUCUAUAAACCCUAUCACAGUUCGGAUCGGAGUCUGCAACUC